GCCGACGUAGCUCAGUUGGUAGAGCAGCGCAUUCGUAAUGCGCAGGUCGCGGGUUCGAUUCCCUCCGUCGGCA
rnacentral:tRNA from 1 species